AUUGAACGCUGGCGGCAGGCCUAACACAUGCAAGUCGAGCGAGCGGCGGACGGGUGAGUAAUGUAUGGGGACUGCCCGAUAGAGGGGGAUAACUACUGGCAACGGUAGCUAAUACCGCAUACUAUCGGAUAACCCAUAUGGGAUUAGCUAGUAGGUGAGGUAAUGGCUCACCUAGGCGACGAUCCCUAGCUGGUCUGCGAGGAUGAUCAGCCACACUGGGAAUGAGACACGGCCCAGACUCCUACGGAGGCAGCAGUGGGGAAUAUUGCACAAUGGGAGCAAGCCUGAUGCAGCCAGGCCGCGUGUAUGAAGAGGGCCCUAGGGUUGUAAAGUACUUUCAGUCGGGAGGCGUUACCGAGAGAAGAAGCACCGGCUAACGCCGUGCCAGCAGCCGCGGUAAUUC
rnacentral:rRNA from 1 species